rfam:Tatumella morbirosei strain LMG 23360 Contig3, whole genome shotgun sequence.
CUGGACGAUCCUGUACGUAUAAUUUUUCUUUGUUUUCCGGGUCAUUAAACUUGAAUAUUUGAGGGAUUGGCCUCAUUUAAUCUCCUGUAGCAUUUUGACCUUUAACAGGAGGAAUUAUGCGUCUGGAUCGUCUAAC